rnacentral:tRNA from 2 species
GCCGCUUUAGCUCAGCUGGUAGAGCAACUGAUUUGUAAUCAGUAGGUCGUUGGUUCGAUUCCGACAAGCGGCU